AUUGAACGCUGGCGGCAGGCCUAACACAUGCAAGUCGAGCGGAGCGGCGGACGGGUGAGUAAUGCCUAGGAAUCUGCCUGGUAGUGGGGGAUAACGUCCGGAAACGGGCGCUAAUACCGCAUACUAUCAGAUGAGACUAGGUCGGAUUAGCUAGUUGGUGGGGUAAAGGCCUACCAAGGCGACGAUCCGUAACUGGUCUGAGAGGAUGAUCAGUCACACUGGGACUGAGACACGGUCCAGACUCCUACGGGAGGCAUCAGUGGGGAAUAUUGGGCAAUGGGCGAAAGUCUGAUCCAGCCAUGCCGCGUGUGUGAAGAAGGUCUUCGGAUUGUAAAGCCCUUUAGGUUGGGAGGCGUUACCCACACAGUAAGCACGGGCUAACUGCGUGCCAGCAGCCGCGGUAAUAC
rnacentral:rRNA from 1 species